rnacentral:tRNA from 1 species
GUGGAUGUAGUUCAAUGGUAGAGCACUGGAUUGUGGUUCCAGGCGUUGUGGGGUCAAAUCCCAUCAUCCACCCCA